UGUGACAGAGUCCAGUUCUCCAAUGCCUAACGAAUCACCUCAAAUCUUAGUUGCCUAAAUCAACAAUCAUUUUUAAAAAAAUUUUUUAUGGUGAUGGGGGUUUACUGGGUUCAAUUAGGCUGUUAUCACUUACUGUCUCUCAAGUGUUUGCAGAAAGAUGUUAGCUGGGGCUGGUGUCCUCUUAAAGAUUCUUCACAUAUUUGGUGAUAACCAGUGCUAGUACUAAGCUGGGACCUCAGUGUGUGCCAUUGACCAGAAUGCCUAUGCAUGGCUUCUCCAUAUGGCCUGGGCUUCCUUAUAACAUGGCAGCUAGAUUCCAAGAGGGAGCUUCUCAAGAACCAGAGGAAACUAUUGUCUCUUCUAAUGUGGCGUUGAAAGUUGCAUUGCUCUACUUUUGCCACAGUGACUGGCCCACUCAAAUUCACAGGAGGGAUCAUAGACUUUACCACUCAGUGAGAGGAGCAUCAGUAAUAAGAGCAUGUGGGAUGAGAAAUUGCAUUAUGGCCAUCUUGGAAAAUUAGGCAUCAAUGUUGGAUAUAUUAUAUACCGAAUAGAAUAUUAUACAGCAAAGAAAACAAACUAACAUUGCACGUAUCAAUAUGAAUGAGUCGAAAUAUUACGUGAAAAAAACAAUUGUAAAAGAAUAUGUAUAGUUUAACAUGCAGUAUUGAUUAGGGAUACUUAAAGUAUAGUAAAUAUAUAAAAUGCAUGGGAAAGAUAAACCCCAAAUGUAGGACAGUAGUUCCCUCCAGGGGUAGCUGGCAUGUGAUUGGAG
rnacentral:lncRNA from 1 species